GUGCUUAGAAUAUUUGGUACUAUCCUUUAGAAUCAUUACACAAAUGCAACAGACUAUUUUCUGUCUUUGCUGAUGAUUGCUAAUGCAGCUCGAACUUAUGGGAGUAAAAAAGCCCUGAGAAUACUUUGCGUAUGCAUCUUGUUUGAUCGGGCAUUUUUCUUUGAUGCAACUUGAGUUUAUGUUUGUUGAUGACUGUCGUUGAUGGAGCUGCUCCUGCCAAGGUGGCCUUUUUGGCGAUGGAGUAGAACUGUCUGAAUUUUUUUAUCACACCACAAGAACGGAUUUUGUUUGUGGUACCAUUUUUUGUAUAUAUAAAACAUAUUUUGGUUGUAUAUAUAUAGAAUAGGAUGUAUCUACCGUUCUUGUGGUGUUGUUCAUGUGUUUGGAUGUAAUAUGGGGUUAAAAUUGAGCUACGUGCUAGGGGAUCUGUUGGGGUGGGCCUGAAUGUACCAUGGGCCUGAACAGAUCUACGGACGUGAGAGGGAAUCGGAAAUUGUGGACCGAUCUGGGAGGGAGCGAUCUGGAAGGAAUUGGACAGAAAUAAUCGCGUGUGCACUCGGGAGGAAAUCGGACUAAAAAAUCGCAAUACAGGGUGUGAAUUGGAUUGAAAAAUCAUGCAUUACUGGGACGACGUACGAAAAAUCCCUGACAAAAACAUCUUAAACUUUUAUAAUAGGUAAAGACUAGAAAAAUACCCAUGCGUUGCUACGGGAGGAAAAGACCGUGGAAGCGGGCGUCGUUCUAUGGCAGAGUCCGUAAUGUCAACGAAGGAGUAAUCGUGGCGGAGCUGGUGGAGGUAGUGUCCAGACACCUUGGUGGUUGAUGGCACAUCGCCGACGAAGCUUAGUGCGGCCGACUACAGCAAGACGGCGUCAGGAGCUCUUGCCGGCAUGGCAAGGAAAAGCUUGCUGGCGGCAGCAAGAUGACGACGCACGGCUUGGGAGGGACAGAGCGGCAUGGAAUGAAACAAUUCACGUCCUUGGUGGCAUGUUUUGAAAGUGUUGCGAAUUGAGUGGCACAUCCUGAAGGUGGUGCAAAUCGAAUGGCAUCUUCUAAAAAUUCUCCUAAACCAUUUGUAAUAUGUGAUAAUACAAAUGCCGGCAUGUUUGCAAUGGAAAAAGAUACAAUUGCGUAUGUAAAUCGGGACAUGUUUAUAUGUGUUUUUAAGUGAGACCGUCAUAAAUUUUAAUAUCGAUUCGUCAGUUC
rnacentral:sRNA from 1 species